GAGUUUAUGAAAACCAUGUCUAGUGUCUUGGGUUGGGAAUGGCCUAGUUAGAAAACGAAUCUUUUAGCGGUGAGCCAUCGCUGAGAUCUUGUUUGUUAGGGCAGUCCCAACCUUCCAUAUAGAAUGGUGUCUAUGACAUU
rnacentral:misc_RNA from 1 species